UCUAGACGUCUAGGAUUCCGCGUUCUAGAUUCUACCCUUCUGUGGAGAUUCUGUGGUCUGAAUUGUGAGGUCCUCUGAUUCCGAGAUUCCGUGAUCCAGAACGUAGCCACGGUUCUGUGUGUCUGAGAUCCCGGGGUUCGAAUGGAGGAGGCAAUUGACACGUUUUCCCCCUCACCCUUCAGCUGCCUUCAGCUCCCGGCAGCUUUUGGAGGCCUGUAAGUUACUAUUUGUGCCAGGAAACUCAGUCAGUCAGAAUAAAUCUGCUCCUGACAACGGUGUUCCGAAAAGGCCAGCGGGUCCCAUUAAUUCAGCACUGGCGAGUAAUUGACUUGAGGGGAAGAAGAGAUCGGCAGCUGAUUGGCUGAAGGGCCUGCUUAAAUGAGAUGCUGCGGAAGCGGGCUCUAAAUGGGGAAGGCACCGACAGACUUCUACCACAAAGCGACUUUGGCGAGAUCUAUUUGAUAAAGGGAGACUUUAACUCUCGGGGUUCAGAAAGCGAAGGCAGAGCUCGGAGACUGAUAGCCCGUGCUGCAAACUAAUGAGGAGGAAGGUCUCCCAUCACCUGUCACAGAGGCAGAAAUUGCUGUGCCCUCUGUGGGCUGGUUCUAAAACGUCUUCAUUUAUUUUUUAAGAUGGCAAAUAAAAACUCCAAGAAAGCCAAUUGCAUGUGGGGCUUCCGAAUGAGCUGUGCUGGAGCCAGGCCUGCUUACUCGACUGGAGACCCGAGUUCUAGGCCUGAUUCUGCCACUUGGCUCCCUGGGAGACUUUAGGAAGGUU